AAAAAACAAAAAAAAAAAAAAAAAAACUGGUUGGUUAAGCGUCUCUCUAGCACAAAUUCGGUCAAAACUAGUCAAAGCCAACACAUAAGAAAGUCUAUGCUUGUCUAUGAUUUAGCUUUUCUACAAUUUCUGCGGUCACGAUUUUGGACUCUUGGCUCUUUUAUUGUUUGUGAAUCUUUUGACCAGGCGCCCACAAAGAAAUCAAGCAAAAUAGAAAGAGUUCCCCGUAGAGCCAAAACGCUGAGGUUCAUUUCAGUCUCUGUUGUGACUUCAGCCCAAUCGGACGUCGAGACUCGCGGCAAACAAAAAAAAUUAAUAAAUAAAGUUUCUAUAAAUACAUGUGUACAUGGCGAAAAGUAUAGAGAAAUCCAAGUGAAUUACAUUUCAAAUACAGAGAGUGAAGAAGGGUCAGAUGUCUGUAAGGCACACAAGGAUUCGUUCCCACCUUUUAAAGUAUAUAUGUUCUUUGUCAGCAUGAGAAUCUAAAUCGAUGUCAGUCUGUGCAAAUCAAUUUUACUCCUAUCAUCUUAAUAGCUAUUGGGAUGAAACUUGAUAUUUAAGCUACCUGUGACCCGGGUAAGACAAAGUUAGAAAAGCGUCAAGAUCGGACCACUAUAUCAUAAAGGUUUUUAGGAAAAAGUUAGAGUAUCCCCAUGAAAUUUACUAAUUUGAGGGAUGGUUUGGAACGUUUUGUCUGUGCAUUGAUGUAUUGAGUUACAGAAAAAGAACAUGUACAAAUAUUAUGGUCAAGGACUGCAAAGCUGUAAAAACUUCGGCACACCCGAAGUUAUCAUCUUUUGUAUUUUUAAGAUUAAUUUCAUGUAAAAUUUUAUUGAAUUUAAAAGAUAGUUUUGUUUGAGAUGAUA